AGUUCUUGGAUGCUGCAGGAAAGAAGUAUAUCGCCAACUAAAUCUGCAGCAUCGACAGGAAAGCAAAGUAACCUGUCUCAAACUGUCCUCCAUAUUGCAGUUCCCUUGUUGCUUUUGCAAUAUUUGUAAUGUGCUUCAGGAAUUUACUUUUAGUAAAUUUCAUCUAUCUAUCUAGAUAAUGUUGAUGCGG